rnacentral:misc_RNA from 1 species
UUUCCGUAGGUGAACCUGCGGAAGGAUCAUUAUUGGAUUUUGAAACUUCAGGCUGCUGCUGGCUCUCCUCGGAGGGCAUGUGCACGCUUGUUGUCCAUUAUUUCUCCCACUGUGCACAAAUUGUAGACCUUUCAGUAGGCCUAUGUUGUUUUUCACAAUCUCUGAAUGUAAUAGAAUGGUUUUGAAUCUUGGGAAAUACAAUACAACUUUCAGCAACGGAUCUCUUGGCUCUCGCAUCGAUGAAGAACACAGC